rnacentral:misc_RNA from 1 species
CUGGAAUCUGUGGCGAAGUUUAUCAAACAGCACGGACGAGUGUCCAUUACAGACCUAGCUGAGUCCAGUAAUCGGCUGAUCAAUCUAACGCCGGACAACACCGAGGUACAGAAAAGACUACUCACCGAAGUCAGUGCGUAGAACGCUCAAAGUUAGGAGAGAUUUGAGGAAGGUGCCAUUGUGUUGAAAUGUCUGUUUGUCUGUCUGUGUGUCCGUACAUGCGGAUCCUCAGUUACACCACCAACUGUUUCUGGUUGACCAAUCGAUACAUCUUAGAUAAGUUGUUCCAGGCCUUUGUUCUUGGAUCUUAUGAAUGGAUUUUAUUCAUGGCUUAAAGAGGGAGGAAAAAAAUAUCUUCAUUCAUUUGACAAGUAGUUCUUAUAUUGUAUCGUCUUUAAUCUAGUGAAUUACAAAACCCAAAUAUGACUUGUUUUUUGUCAAUGUAAAUUUAAUAAAUGUUUAAUUUGUUACAAGGCAUAUGGAACAUUUUACAACAUUUAGAUCUCUUUUAAAAUGAAAGUCGAUGGCAUCACUUCUUGCAUGCAGGGUAGCAAGAUUUGUUAUGAAAUAAGGGAUCAUCAAACUUAAACCCUUCAUGCCUUGUAUUCAGGAAAACUAGAAUUGUGCGCUAUGAUUUGGAUAUGGUUUAGGAGGAGCUUUCAGAUAGCAUGGCCAAGUUUGACAACAACAGUGAAAUGUUGAGAUAGAAUAAAAGGUUUUACCAAACUACCCUAGGUUAUAAUUGUUUGAAACAUACUAUUUAUUUUGGCGGAAUGAUUUAUUUUUGCAUACUAAUGUACGUGUAUAGUAUAUUGAUGAUGUAACACUGUCCCUGUUAUACAUAGUCAUUGUUUAUGUAUUUUAACUGUAAUGUGGUUCAAUAUAUACCGCCGCUAUCAAAACACAACUCUAAUACACGGGAAGUUGUGUACCUAAUAUAAUUAAGGAGGCUGUAUGCUCACCAAACUACCCAUUGUGACCUUCUACAUGUACCUUAAGAUAUUGGAUUUGAAUUUUAGCCAUAAUUUAUAUCAUUUAUUAUAGAAAAAUUCCAAAUAUUCUUGGGUAAAAGGGAAGGGACAUGCAUUUAUUAGUGUGUGGAAUUAGACAUCAUUAUGAAGGAGGAGACACCGCUGUGUGAGUGGUUUUGUUUUUGUUUAUAUAUUCACUGCAAUAAUUAAACAUCUUGUUGACCU